UCCGGUUCAACACCGGCAGUCCCCUUAGAGUCCCCAGCUUUACCUGCUGGCAACUAAGGGCAAGGGUUGCGCUCGUUACGGGACUUAACCCAACAUCUCACAACACGAGCUGACGACAGCCAUGCAGCACCUGUCUCUAAGUUCCUUUCGGCACUCCCAACUCUCAUCGGGAUUCUUAGGAUGUCAAGGGUAGGUAAGGUUCUUCGCGUUGCAUCGAAUUAAACCACAUGCUCCACCGCUUGUGCGGGCCCCCGUCAAUUCAUUUGAGUUUCAACCUUGCGGCCGUACUUCCCAGGCGGAGUACUUAUCGCGUUAGCUUCGAUACUGCUAAGUUCCCCUAGCAACAUCUAGUACUCAUCGUUUACAGCGUGGACUAC
rnacentral:misc_RNA from 1 species